GACGAACGCUGGCGGCGUGCUUAACACAUGCAAGUCGAGCGGUAAGGGCCCUUUCGGGGGUACACGAGCGGCGAACGGGUGAGUAACACGUGGGUGACCUGCCCUCAGCUCUGGGGAUAAGCCUGGGAAACCGGGGUCUAAUACUGGAUAUGACUCCAUGACGCAUGUUGUGGGGUGGAAAGCCUUGUGCGGCUGAGGAUGGGCCCGCGGCCUAUCAGCUUGUUGGUGGGG
rnacentral:rRNA from 1 species